UCCGAUUCGUAAAGAACAAAAAGAUAAAUAAAAGCAAACAAUAAACAACUCACCUUGAUCACUUCAACAUUCUCUACCCCAGCAUGGGUCAGGUUU
rnacentral:sRNA from 12 species